AGCCGAAACGGCCCUAAGGGGGCCGUCGUGCGGGGGCUGACCGCCCUGCGCCUGAUGAUGGCAGGUCAAA
rnacentral:hammerhead_ribozyme from 1 species